AGAGUUUGAUCCUGGCUCAGGACGAACGCUGGCGGCGUGCUUAACACAUGCAAGUCGAGCGAUGAAGCACCUUCGGGUGUGAAUUAGCGGCGAACGGGUGAGGAACACGUGAAGAAUCUGCCUUCAACUCUGGGAUAACUCCGGGAAACCGGGGCUAAUACCGGAUAUGAGCCUUGAUCGCAUGAUCGAGGCUGGAAAGUUUUUCGGUUGAAGAUGACUUCGCGGCCUAUCAGCUUGUUGGUGAGGUAAUGGCUCACCAAGGCGACGACGGGUAGCCGGCCUGAGAGGGCGACCGGCCACACUGGGACUGAGACACGGCCCAGACUCCUACGGGAGGCAGCAGUGGGGAAUAUUGGGCAAUGGAGGAAACUCUGACCCAGCGACGCCGCGUGAGGGAUGAAGGCCUUCGGGUUGUAAACCUCUUUCAGUAGGGAAGAAGCGAAAGUGACGGUACCUACAGAAGAAGCACCGGCUAACUAUGUGCCAGCAGCCGCGGUAAUACAUAGGGUGCAAGCGUUGUCCGGAAUUAUUGGGCGUAAAGAGCUCGUAGGUGGUUCGAUACGUCGGAUGUGAAAAUCAGGGGCUCAACCCCUGACCUGCAUCCGAUACGGUCGAGCUGGAGUUUGGUAGGGGAGACUGGAAUUCCUGGUGUAGCGGUGGAAUGCGCAGAUAUCAGGAGGAACACCGAUGGCGAAGGCAGGUCUCUGGGCCAAUACUGACACUGAGGAGCGAAAGCGUGGGGAGCGAACAGGAUUAGAUACCCUGGUAGUCCACGCCGUAAACGGUGGGCGCUAGUUGUG
rnacentral:rRNA from 1 species